rnacentral:rRNA from 1 species
UUUCCCUACGGGGCGCAGCAGUGAGGAAUAUUGGUCAAUGGACGGAAGUCUGAACCAGCCAUGCCGCGUGCAGGAAGACGGCUCUAUGAGUUGUAAACUGCUUUUGUACAAGGGUAAACCUGAAUACGUGUAUUCAGCUGAAAGUACUGUACGAAUAAGCAUCGGCUAACUCCGUGCCAGCAGCCGCGGUAAUACGGGGGAUGCGAGCGUUAUCCGGAUUUAUUGGGUUUAAAGGGUGCGUAGGCGGCGCUUCAGGUCAGCGGUGAAAUACCGGGGCUCAAACCCGGGGCUGCCGUUGAAACCGG